rnacentral:rRNA from 1 species
GAGUUCUCCCUGACUCCUUGAGAGUCCUGAAGGAACGUUGAAGACGACGACGUUGAUAGGCCGGGUGUGUAAGCGCAGCGAUGCGUUGAGCUAACCGGUACUAAUGAACCGUGAGGCUUAACCUUACAACGCCGAAGGUGUUU